GACGAACGCUGGCGGCGUGCUUAAUACAUGCAAGUCGAGCGAGGGUUACUGUUUCGGAUCCCUUCGGGGUGAAGAAGCUUUAACCUAGCGGCGGACGGGUGAGUAACGCGUGGGUAACCUACCCCAAAGUCCGGGAUAACAGCGGGAAACCGCUGCUAAUACCGGAUGUCUUUACCUUGGGGCAUCUUGAGGUAAAGAAAGGUAACGCUUUGGGAUGGGCCCGCGUCCCAUUAGCUAGUUGGUGAGGUAACGGCUCACCAAGGCGACGAUGGGUAGCCGGCCUGAGAGGGUGGACGGCCACACUGGGACUGAGGCACGGCCCAGACUCCUACGGGAGGCAGCAGUAGGGAAUAUUGCGCAAAUGGACGGAAGUCUGACGCAGCGACGCCGCGUGAGCGAUGAAGGUCUUCGGAUCGUAAAGCUCUGUCCUUGGGGAAGAAGGUCUUCGGACUUGACGGUACCCAAGAAGAAAGCCCCGGCUAACUACGUG
rnacentral:rRNA from 1 species